AAGUGUAUUUUCUUUUAAUUACAUUAAAAUUUCUUAGUUAUGUUGAGUUGCGUUUACAUUUUGUUUUCUGAUCUGAAUCGUUAAGCCACCCAACGAGCAGUCAAUCAAUGGCGGAGAAAAACUUCAAAUACGGCAUCCUAGGUGGCAACGCAAGUUUGUGAAGGAGGAACGAGAGAUUGAAAUUGGGCUUCCAACUGAUGUCAAACAUAUUGCACGUAUUGGAUGGGAUGGAGCCUCUGACAAUCCUCCACUUGGAUGAAUUAAUUCAAGAUAAAGCCCAACAAGGUUCCUGCAACUGCAAAUGUCAAUGCCAAUAUCGAGGAGACAAGAUCCCACAACUCUGCAAUCUUAACAUGCUAAUCUCAAGGUUCUCAUCUUCGAUUUCUCAAAUGUCUGAUAUUUUUCCUAAAUGCACCUGAAAUUUUGAAAAUCUUGUUCAAUAGAGGAUUGAAUGAUUCUUUAGUAGAGGCAAAUUAU